CCCAUUUAUCAGACCCAACACCCAUGCGGGGCCCGCCCGCCCGCCCGGUCCCCCCGGGGCCUCGGCGCGCAGGCUCCCCGGCCGCUUUGGUGACUCUAGAUAACCUGGAGCCGAUCGCUGGCCCUCAGGUGGCGGCGACGUCUCAUUCGAAUGUCUGCCCUAUCAACUUUCGAUGGUACGCUCUGUGCCUACCAUGGUGACCACGGGUAACGGGGAAUCAGGGUUCGAUUCCGGAGAGGGAGCCUGAGAAACGGCUACCACAUCCAAGGAAGGCAGCAGGCGCGCAAAUUACCCACUCCCGACGCGGGGAGGUAGUGACGAAAAAUAACAAUACAGGACUCUUUCGAGGCCCUGUAAUUGGAAUGAGUACACUCCACUCCUUUAGCGAAGGACCCAUUUAGACC
rnacentral:rRNA from 1 species